rnacentral:rRNA from 1 species
UGGGGAAUUUUCCGCAAUGGGCGAAAGCCUGACGGAGCGACGCCGCGUGGAGGAAGAAGUUUUUCGGAAUGUAAACUCCUGUCAUCAGGGACGAAUAAAGUGACGGUACCUGAGGAGGAAGCAUCGGCUAACUACGUGCCAGCAGCCGCGGUAAUACGUAGGAUGCAAGCGUUGUUCGGAAUUACUGGGCGUAAAGAGUACGUAGGCGGUAAUGCAAGUUUAAUAUUAAAGACCGAAGCUCAACUUCGGGAAUGUAUUAAAAACUGUAUUGCUAGAGGUUAAUAGAGGAAAUCGGAAUUCUCAGUGUAGCGGUGAAAUGCGUAGAUAUUGGGAAGAACACCGGUGGCGAAAGCGGAUUUCUGGGUUAAUACUGACGCUGAGGUACGAAAGUGUGGGGAGC